rnacentral:rRNA from 1 species
GAUGAACGCUGGCGGCGUGCCUAAUACAUGCAAGUCGAGCGAACGGAUGAGAAGCUUGCUUCUCUGAUGUUAGCGGCGGACGGGUGAGUAACACGUGGAUAACCUACCUAUAAGACUGGGAUAACUUCGGGAAACCGGAGCUAAUACCGGAUAAUAUUUUGAACCGCAUGGUUCAAAAGUGAAAGACGGUCUUGCUGUCACUUAUAGAUGGAUCCGCGCUGCAUUAGCUAGUUGGUAAGGUAACGGCUUACCAAGGCAACGAUGCAUAGCCGACCUGAGAGGGUGAUCGGCCACACUGGAACUGAGACACGGUCCAGACUCCUACGGGAGGCAGCAGUAGGGAAUCUUCCGCAAUGGGCGAAAGCCUGACGGAGCAACGCCGCGUGAGUGAUGAAUGUCUUCGGAUCGUAAAACUCUGUUAUUAGGGAAGAACAUAUGUGUAAGUAACUGUGCACAUCUUGACGGUACCUAAUCAGAAAGCCACGGCUAACUGCGU